GACGAACGCUGGCGGCGUGCUUAACACAUGCAAGUCGAACGGAAAGGCCCUGCCUUUGUGGGGUGCUCGAGUGGCGAACGGGUGAGUAACACGUGAGUAACCUGCCCUUGACUUUGGGAUAACUUCAGGAAACUGGGGCUAAUACCGGAUAGGAGCUCCUGCUGCAUGGUGGGGGUUGGAAAGUUUCGGCGGUUGGGGAUGGACUCGCGGCUUAUCAGCUUGUUGGUGGGGUAGUGGCUUACCAAGGCUUUGACGGGUAGCCGGCCUGAGAGGGUGACCGGCCACAUUGGGACUGAGAUACGGCCCAGACUCCUACGGGAGGCAGCAGUGGGGAAUAUUGCACAAUGGGCGGAAGCCUGAUGCAGCAGCGCCGCGUGCGGGAUGACGGCCUUCGGGUUGUAAACCGCUUUCGCCUGUGACGAAGCGUGAGUGACGGUAAUGGGUAAAGAAGCACCGGCUAACUACGUG
rnacentral:rRNA from 1 species